rnacentral:misc_RNA from 1 species
ACAAGCUAUGGAGCAACAGGCUCAGUUGCGUGAUGCUCUGAAUGAGGCUCUGAAGAAAGAAGUUGAGAGGCUCAAGAUUGCCACUGGGGAAACAAUGAGCCCCUCUGAGUCAUUCAACUUGGGAAUGCAUCAAAUGCCAUAUGCCCCAGCAAACUUUUUCCCACUUCCACAACAACCAGGACCUGCCAGUCAUCCAAACAUGCAGUUGCCACCAUUUUCACAUUCUCAACAUAAUAUGCCAGCUCACCAUCUUCAUCAAACACAUUCCCAUGCAGUCUCGGAAAUUAUGAAAAAUGAUCCACUUGGCCGAUUACAGGGGCUUGAUAUCAGUAGCAAAGGACCAAAUAUUGUAAAAUCAGAAGGCCCCUCGCUUUCUGCAAGUGAAAGUAGCUCCACAUUUUGACAUAAACUGGCUACUGACUAGCUGACUUUCCAUGGCAUGUGUGUUAAUAGACUGACAUCCAGUUACUUAGAGAAGGCGUUCUAUUUAGUUCCAUUAUUCGUUCCAUUCAUGUUGUGGGAAUCAAUUAUUAAUUGUUUAUUCUUAGGGUUAUCCCAGAAAAAGGGAAACACCCAGGUUUUGAUGCAGCUUGUAUGAGUUCUUUGCGUAACAUGGAAUUUUGUUUAUCAAUGAUGAAUUCAGGGGAGGACCUAUGGGAGUGAAAGGUCAUUCCCAUUAGGUGUAAGAUGUUUUAUGACGGUGGUGUCAAAUUCAUUUGUAUCUCAUUUUCAUUUGAUUCUGUGUGAACAUGGUGUCUUACUCUCAUUCCAUUUCCUUUAUUGGUUGAAAUGGGAUUCUCAAUCUCUUUUGCUCUCAACUUAUUCAAGCAUGAG